UUAGGAAUAUUCGUCAAUGGGGGAAACCCUGAACGAGCAAUGCCGCGUGAGUGAUGACGGUCUUUAUGAUUGUAAAACUCUGUUGUAAGGAAAGAACCCUUAUCAUAGGAAAUGAUGAUAAGCUGACGGUACCUUACCAGAAAGCCCCGGCUAACUACGUGCCAGCAGCCGCGGUAAUACGUAGGGGGCGAGCGUUAUCCGGAUUUAUUGGGCGUAAAGCGUGUGUAGGCGGUUUGUUAAGUCUAAAAUAAAAGCCUGAGGCUUAACCUCAGUUCGUUUUAGAAACUGGCAGACUUGAGUGUGGUAGAGGCAAGUGGAAUUUCUAGUGUAGCGGUUAAAUGCGUAGAUAUUAGAAGGAACACCAGUGGCGAAGGCGGCUUGCUGGGCCAUUACUGACGCUGAGACACGAAAGCGUGGGGAGCAAAUAGG
rnacentral:rRNA from 1 species